rnacentral:rRNA from 1 species
UGGGGAAUAUUGCACAAUGGGCGCAAGCCUGAUGCAGCAACGCCGCGUGAACGAUGAAGGUCUUCGGAUCGUAAAGUUCUUUUGCAGGGGAAGAUAAUGACGGUACCCUGUGAGGAAGCCCCGGCUAACUACGUGCCAGCAGCCGCGGUAAUACGUAGGGGGCUAGCGUUAUCCGGAUUUACUGGGCGUAAAGGGUGCGUAGGUGGUCUUUCAAGUCGGUGGUUAAAGGCUACGGCUCAACCGUAGUUAGCCUCCGAAACUGGAAGACUUGAGUGCAGGAGAGGAAAGUGGAAUUCCCAGUGUGGCGGUGAAAUGCGUAGAUAUUGGGAGGAACACCAGUGGGAAAGGCGGCUUUCUGGACUGCAACUGACACUGAGGCACGAAAGCGUGGGUAGCAAACAGG